UACCAGCACCCCGAGUGGUCGGGACGAUUAUUGGGCCUAAAGCAUCCGUAGCCGGUUUUACAAGUCCCCCGUUAAAUCCAGCUGCUUAACAGAUGGGCUGCGGAGGAUACUAUAAGACUAGGAGGCAGGAGAGGCAAGCGGUACUCAGUGGGUAGGGGUAAAAUCCGUUGAUAUCAUGGGGAAUACCAAAAGCGAAGGCAGUACACUGGCGCAUUCCUGACACUGAAACACGAAAGCGUGGGUAGCGAAUGGG
rnacentral:rRNA from 1 species